UGCGUAGGCGGAAAAUUAAGUCAGUGAUGAAGUCCUGCAGCUUAACUGUAGAACUGUUAUUGAUACUGAUUUUCUUGAAUUCAGUUGAGGUAGGCGGAAUGUGUAAUGUAGCGGUGAAAUGCUUAGAUAUUACACAGAACACCGAUUGCGAAGGCAGCUUACUAAGCUGAUAUUGACGCUGAGGCACGAAAGCGUGGGGAGCGAACAGGAUUAGAUACCCUGGUAGUCC
rnacentral:rRNA from 1 species